CGCCGGCCAGCCGUUCCACCUUCCCGCUCUAGCCGAGUUAGUCUAGAGUCCGAGCCCCCACCUGAAUGUCGAGAUUGAGGUCGACUCGGAGUCGUCGGGUGAGCAGACAGCUGCGGAGGAUUCAGGUGGUGAUGCCGAGGACAGUGAGUCAGAGUGGACGCCUUCGAGAGGGCGUAGGGGAUAGUUCUGGGAGGAGGAUGCGCCCCAUUUUUGGAUAGUGCUGACCUAGAGAGCUGAUCUUGAUAUUUUGGUGGUUUGGAGUUUAUAGUUCGGUGUGCUUAUAAAUUAUUUUGUGGUUUGUAUUGGCGGAUGAUGUAAAUAUUUGGAAGUGUAAUAUAUGCUUGGUGGUUUGACGAUUUGUU